rnacentral:ribozyme from 1 species
UGCCCAGCAACUCCUAUCUCUACCUCCUCGCAAUACUGGCCGGGGUACAAGCAACCUUAGGGAAGAUCGUGUAACCAACCCCGGUGGGAACUUAAGUCAUAUGCUGACAUGGAAGG